rnacentral:lncRNA from 1 species
AUUGAAUAGUUAACUACCAAGGAAAUCCAUUUGGGAUAAUAAUUUAAAAAAAAAAAAAAAAAAAAAAAAAAAAAAAAAGGGUAUGAAACAAAGAUUACUUUGUCCUUCCCGUGUGUAAAUCCAUAUAGGGAAAAACAAAACCAGAGGAAACUGUGUUGCAGCCUGAUUAGAUGAAGUAACUCUUAAAUUCAGUUUGUUGGAAGAUGAGACAAGGGAAACAAGUUAAUUUGUUUCCAAUACAAAAGCUGAAUUGAAGGGGAACCCUGUUGUGGGCAGUUUGUAGUGUGGCCCAGGUUUCGUUUGAGGCCAUGAUGACUCCCGCUGUCUGUGCACUUGGUGGAUGUCUGCUGGUUUCACAUUGCCUUGGGCACAAGUGUCAAAGUCUUGCCUCAUUUCCGUUGGUUCUCCUGACCUCUGCUGGCUUAGAAAAACAGAGUGAGGAAAGAUAAGGAGACAAGGAGGAAAAUACCUGUCUUCCCCAUUUCAGAGGCUGGCAUAUGGACAGAAAAGGACAUCCCCACAUCCAAGGUGCAUACACACACCAAGUGGUGUGAGGUGCCAGGAGCAUCAGAAUAACUUGAACCCUCUUCUGCACCUAAGAGAAACAGAAGUAUUAUCUCAAGGUACAGCUGCUGGGUUCUGCAAGUCAGACACACCUUGGCACCUGCAUGAGGUUGGGACUACAGGGCUGAGUCAGCCUGGGUUCAGGAAGGAGAAGAGAUGAAAUCCACCCAGGAAGCAUCAGAGCCUCACCCGUUUCUCCAGCUAGAUGCAGCUGCAGAGAGAAAAUCUGCCCAUGGGAGGAGGUUUAGAACUAGAUGGUCUCUAAAGGCUCUUCCAGCCCAAACCAUUCUGUGAUUCUACAGUUUAAGUCUCCCUCUACUGGCACACUUCUCUUCCAUACUCAUCCAAGCACAUCUAGAGGCACAUUGCUGCUUGCUGAUGGUCUGCACUGAUCAUACACUUUUCUACCAUUGUGAAGUAUCCAAUGCCAGCUCCAGAAGAGCUGUCAUUCUUUACUUAUUAAACCUUAAAAGACUCUAUCCUUAAAAGAAAAGAAAAAAGAAAAGAGAAGAAAGGAAAAGGGAAGGGGAAAGAAAGGAAAGGAAAAGUUCAAUCACAUUCCUGUGCCCAAACCAGUCAGGGGAACUUAGGGAGAGCAAAGAGUAACAUUACUACCUGGGAUUAUCAGAAGAGUGCACAAAGUCCUUUAGAGCAAGAAGACCUGGAGGUCUUACUGCUUUUCUCUCUUUCUCUUGUGAAGAUGCACAUAGCUGCAGAAAAAUAAUAUGAAGUUCCUGGUAGAUGGCUUACUGUAAGUCUGCAUUGAUUUAAGUGGGGAAAAAUUGUGUUGACUCUGUUUUGAUAUAUAGAAACAGCAGAUAUCUACUGAGUGGGUAACAUCCCAGAGUACAAGAAAAAUGCCAAGCAAAAACACUUACAUGUAAAGUAGAUAUUGUCAGCAGACUCUUUGUAUGUAUUAGGAUUCCAGUAGAGGAAUAAAACAUGCUUUGGUCAUUUGGACA